AAGUCGUAACAAGGUUUCCGUAGGUGAACCUGCGGAAGGAUCAUUAUUGAAUAAACCAUGGCGGGCAGUCUUGCUGGCCUUUUCCCUCCUCCAGGGAGGAGAGAGGGCAUGUGCACGCUCGUCAAAAGUUUCAUUCGCAUACCCCUUUCCACCUGUGCACACACUGUAGGUCCUGUUAGAAGGGGGGGAGCCUUGGGCCCUCCCCUUUUUCGGACCUACGUUUUACAACCCUACCCCCUCGAAUAUGAUACGAACGUAGUGACUUGGGCCACCGCGCCUAAUAAAACAUAAUACAACUUUCAACAACGGAUCUCUUGGCUCUC
rnacentral:misc_RNA from 1 species